rnacentral:rRNA from 1 species
GAUGAACGCUAGCGGCAGGCCUAACACAUGCAAGUCGAGGGAGGAGCUUUCGGGCUUCGACCGGCGUACGGGUGCGUAACGCGUAUACAAUCUGCCUUUCACAUAGGGAUAGCCCGAAGAAAUUUGGAUUAAUACCUAAUGGUAUAUAGAGGUGGCAUCACCUUUAUAUUAAACCUGAGGCGGUGAAAGAUGAGUAUGCGUUCUAUUAGCUAGUUGGAGAGGUAACGGCUCCGCAAGGCGACGAUAGAUAGGGGUUCUGAGAGGGAUAUCCACCACAAUGGUACUGCGGUACGGACUAGACUGGUACGCGGGGGAGGGGUGAGGAAUAUUGGGGGAUGGACGGAGGACUAAUCACGCCAUGCCGGGUGCAGAAGGACUGGCUUAUGGAUUGUAAGCUGCUUUGGAAGAAGAAGAAUAAGGACUACGCGUAGUUUGAUGACGGUACUCUGCGAAUAAGCAUCGGCUAACUACGUG